UUUGUUAGCUGGCCUAGCUAAGGACCAGGAAGUGUCAUCCAGACUGUCGACGUCAACCAGUACGUGGCAUUCUCAACGCGCAGCCGCAGACCGUCUGGAACAAAGCAAAAACAUUUGUCUGGAAAUAAAUGGUUUGGUUGUACAUCCUCCGACAACUUGGAUCAGAGCCUAACGUGUGGUCCUGCCUGCACGGAUACAAA